CUGAAAUAAAUUAUGAUAGAUAGACGGAUAGAUGGGGUGUUCUAAGAGAAAGUCGCUUUGAAAAUGCUUUUGUCUUGUAUGGCAGCUUCCUCAAUCAACUGCGUUGAUCGGCUAGAUAAUAAGUUUUUAUAAAAGAAACAUGCCUUUAUGGGACCCAUAACAUUGAAGCAAUACAAAAGUUAGAAAUGAGAGUCAAAUCUGACAAUCGUUAUCUACGCACGAAACGCCCCUUAUUAAAUGAUACUUGAUCGUGACGUCAUGAUUAAGUUUAAUGCGUUUUAUUUGCAUUGCAUUUACAAAAAGAGGAGCUUUCGAGUUUCGAGGAUUAUGUUUUAAAAAUACGUGUAUAUUACGUAGGUUUGUUUGUAUUGAUUUUUUGAUUCUAGAAAUAAUAGUUGUAUAACCUUAAUAUGUAUGUAGGUAAGUACUAAGUACAUAAAAGGUACCGAAAUAGGUCAGAAGAGCAGUAAAUUCAAUAUUACUAUACAGUAUAUCCAAAAAGAGCGCUAUGAUAAGUAAAAGUUCCUUUUUAGGGUUCAGUACCCAAAGGGUAAAACGGGAGCCUAUUACUAAGACUCCGCUGUCAGUACGUCUAUCCGUCUGUCACCAGGCUGUAUCUCGUAAACCGUGAUAGUUAGUUGAUAUUUUCACAGUUGCCGCAAUAACAACAAAUACUAAAAACUACGGUACCCUAGAUGGGCGAGUCCGGCUCGCAUUUGUCUGGUAUUAUUUAAAUAUAGGAGGCAAAUGAGGAAAGCCCAUGAACAGAUGUCGUACCUAUCAUAGGAUAAGUAGAUAUAUAUGUACAAAGAAACAGCGGUAUGUUAAGUAGAUUUUUUAUAUAGUAGGCAAACGAGCAGAGCCCAUGAACAGAGGUCAUACUCUUAUCAUAGAAUUGGUAGAUAUGUACAAAGAAACAGCGCUAUGUUAAGUAGAAUCGAUUUUUUUUAAGUAGGAGCUAAACGAGCAGAACUCAUGAACAGAGUUCGUAUCAUAAGAUUUGUAGAUAUGUACAUAGAAAUGGCGCUAUGUUAAGUAGAAGUAUUUUUUUAAAUAUAGGAGGCAAAUAAGCAGAGCCCAUGAACAGAGGUUGUAUCAUAGGAUAAGUAGAUAUGUACAAAGAAAUGGCACUAUGUUAAGUAGAUUUUUUUUUUUUAAUAUAUGAGGCAAACGAGCAGUGCCCACGAACAGAGCUCGUAUCAGAAGAUUUAUAGAGAUGUACAAAGGAAUGGCGUUAUGUUAAGUAGAAGUAUUUUUUUUUAAAUAUAGGAGGCAAACGAGCAGAACCCAUGAACAGAGCUCAUAUCAUAAGAUUUGUAGAGAUGUACAAAGGAAUGGCGUUAUGUUAAGUAAAAGUAUUUUUUUUAAAUACAGGAGGCAAACGAGCAGAGCCCAUGAACAGAGGUCGUAUCUUAAGAUUUGUAGAUAUGUACAUAGAAAUGGCGCUAUGUUAAGUAGAAGUAUUUUUUUAAAUAUAGGAGGCAAAUGAGCAGAGCCCAUGAACAGAGGUUGUAUCAUAGGAUAAGUAGAUAUGUAGAAAGAAAUGGCACUAUGUUAAGUAGAAUUUAUUUUUUUUAAUAUAGGAGGCAAACGAGCAGAGCCCGCGAACAGAGCUCGUAUCAGAAGAUUUAUAGAGAUGUACAAAGGAAUGGCGUUAUGUUAAGUAGAAGUAUUUUUUUUAAUAUAGGAGGCAAACGAGCAGAACCCAUGAACAGAGCUCAUAUCAUAAGAUUUGUAGAGAUGUACAAAGGAAUGGCGUUAUGUUAAGUAGAAGUAUUUUUUUCAAUACAGGAGGCAAACGAGCAGAGCCCAUGAACAGAGGUCGUAUCAUAAGAUUUGUAGAUAUGUACAUAGAAAUGGCGCUAUGUUAAGUAGAAGUAUAUUUUUAAAUAUAGGAGGCAAAUGAGCAGAGCCCAUGAACAGAGGUUGUAUCAUAGGAUUAGUAGAUAUGUACAAAGAAAUGGCACUAUGUUAAGUAGAUUUUUUUUUAAAAUAUAUGUGGCAAACGAGCAGAGCCCACGAACAGAGCUCGUAUCAGAAGAUUUAUAGAGAUGUACAAAGGAAUGGCGUUAUGUUAAGUAGAAGUAUUUUUUUUUAAAUAUAGGAAGCAAACGAGCAGAACCCAUGUACAGAGCUCAUAUCAUAAGAUUUGUAGAGAUGUACAAAGGAAUGGCGUUAUGUUAAGUAGAAGUAUUUUUUUAAAUACAGGAGGCAAACGAGCAGAGCCCAUGAACAGAGGUCGUAUCAUAACAUUUGUAGAUAUGUACAUAGAAAUGGCGCUAUGUUAAGUAGAAGUAUUUUUUUAAAUAUAGGAGGCAUAAGAUCAGAGCCCAUGAACAGAGGUCGUAUCUUAAGAUUUGUAGAUAUGUACAUAGAAAUGGCGCUAUGUUAAGUAGAAGUAUUUUUUUAAAUAUAGGAGGCAUAAGAUCAGAGCCCACGAACAGAGCUCGUAUCAGAAGAUUUAUAGAGAUGUACAAAGGAAUGGCGUUAUGUUAAGUAGAAGUAUUUUUUUUUAAAUAUAGGAGGCAAACGAGCAGAACCCAUGAACAGAGCUCAUAUCAUAAGAUUUGUAGAGAUGUACAAAGGAAUGGCGUUAUGUUAAGUAGAAGUAUUUUUUUAAAUACAGGAGGCAAACGAGCAGAGCCCAUGAACAGAGGUCGUAUCUUAAGAUUUGUAGAUAUGUACAUAGAAAUGGCGCUAUGUUAAGUAGAAUUUUUUUUUAAUAUAGGAGGCAAACGAGCAGAGCCCACGAACAGAGCUCGUAUCAGAAGAUUUAUAGAGAUGUACAAAAGAAUGGCGUUAUGUUAAGUAGAAGUAUUUUUUUUAUAUAGGAGGCAAACGAGCAGAACCCAUGAACAGAGCUCAUAUCAUAAGAUUUGUAGAGAUGUACAAAGGAAUGGCGUUAUGUUAAGUAGAAGUAUUUUUUUAAAUACAGGAGGCAAACGAGCAGAGCCCAUGAACAGAGGUCGUAUCAUAAGAUUUGUAGAUAUGUACAUAGAAAUGGCGCUAUGUUAAGUAGAAGUAUUUUUUUAAAUAUAGGAGGCAAAUGAGCAGAGCCCAUGAACAGAGGUUGUAUCAUAGGAUAAGUAGAUAUGUACAAAGAAAUGGCACUAUGUUAAGUAGAUUUUUAAAAAAAAUAUAGGUGGCAAACGAGCAGAGCCCACGAACAGAGCUCGUAUCAGAAGAUUUAUAGAGAUGUACAAAGGAAUGGCGUUAUGUUAAGUAGAAGUAUUUUUUUUAAUAUAGGAGGCAAACGAGCAGAACCCAUGAACAGAGCUCAUAUCAUAAGAUUUGUAGAGAUGUACAAAGGAAUGGCGUUAUGUUAAGUAGAAGUAUUUUUUUAAAUACAGGAGGCAAACGAGCAGAGCCCAUGAACAGAGGUCGUAUCAUAACAUUUGUAGAUAUGUACAUAGAAAUGGCGCUAUGUUAAGUAGAAGUAUUUUUUUAAAUAUAGGAGGCAUAAGAUCAGAGCCCAUGAACAGAGGUCGUAUCUUAAGAUUUGUAGAUAUGUACAUAGAAAUGGCGCUAUGUUAAGUAGAAGUAUUUUUUUAAAUAUAGGAGGCAUAAGAUCAGAGCCCAUGAACAGAGCUCGUAUCAGAAGAUUUAUAGAGAUGUACAAAGGAAUGGCGUUAUGUUAAGUAGAAGUAUUUUUUUAAAUAUAGGAGGCAAACGAGCAGAACCCAUGAACAGAGCUCAUAUCAUAAGAUUUGUAGAGAUGUACAAAGGAAUGUAUGACCUAUUAUUCACCUCGUAAAUUAUUUGCAGGUGACUAAAUAAACACCCUGUAUAUAUUUGUUGUUGUAUCAACAAAUCAAGCAUUUACAUUAAAAAAGUGAGUGACAUUUAAUUAAGUGGAACUGCUGAUGAAGACCAGACGGAACACCUCAACUACGCGUAUUUCACGUUUGGCGAUAUCUUCUUCGUUGAGAUUGUUCUGCAAGUUAUUUUUUAAGCUUCAUUUUAGUCAAGAUCUAUUUCUGAUAAUGGAUCCCAGGAAUAAUGGAUGAAACUCUUCAAAUAUUUUACAUAUAGUAUAUUUUUAUAUUUGCAUUUAAACAGUGCUAUUUGGUGAAACGUGUUCAUGAAGAUUAGAAUAUAACUUCUCCUUGACAAGUAUUUUACGAGUUAGGGCUUAGGUAUAUUAUAUGGGCUUACCUAUGGGCUAUUGUUUUUCAUUCAAUAGUUUACAUAUGUGAAAGAGAAAGUAUAACAAUAUGCUUGUUAGACUAAAAUAGCUUUAGUUUUGUUAAUUUCAAAAACUUAGUAGGUGAUAAUUAUAACAUAGGUAUAGAAUCCUCAAAAAUAAAACAGUAGAUACAAAGCAGGUGUUAUUGGCCCGUCUUUAUAUAUAGAAAAUCGAUGGCAUGAUUCCUAGGAACAGAUCUUCGUAUGUGUUAUAGUUUCAAACUUUCCCAUACUGAACGAUCUAAAUAGGCCACCAUGUAUACCCUACGGAACAUUUUAUUUCGUUGGAUGAAUUUAGGGUGUAGGGGAGAAACUACCCAAUUAUGAGCUACUUACUGAAAACUAUCAUUAAUAGACAAUUGUAAGGAUAUUUAACAUUGCCAAAAUAAGGUUAAAGGUGCCCUCUAGUAGUACUUAGUCGAUAUUGUGAUACAAUGAAUGGUAUUAUAAACAUUUUUCUUUUUUCAUAUACUAUGGACAUUCCUCGAUGGCACCAAGCUGCAACUGGAAAGCGAUGAUCACACGGCAAAUAAAAUCGUGAAGACUGUAGCAGCCACGUCUAAGGAGGAUGAAUGUAUCAUGUACAUUCAAUAUUUUUUAUUUAUUGUUUGUUUGAUAUGUAAAAAUGCACGUCAAUAAGGUGGCAAACUAUUAUUAACAGAGACCGGAAUUAUUGUGGCAUUCUUGAACUGUCAUAGAGAGUUCUCAUUUAUCGACUUCGGGUACACAUAUAUCGAUACAACGAAGAACACAAAAUAUUAAAAAGUUAUAAAGUUAAUGGAUAUUUGACUGUAAAAGAAGUAACUGCUUUUUUGCAUUUCUUUUUACUUAUUAAAAAAUAGGUCUAUAGUUAGGGAGUACAAGUCCAGUAAGGGUUGCUAGAUAGCAUCUCUCCAACAACUCUUACUGAGUUUCAACAUAAUUACUUAUAUUUUCAAGAAAUGAGAGGGGUAAAAAAUUAUAACUAACCAUAUUAUUCUCAAAAUGUUGGAUUGUUUUAAGCAUGACAUCAGUGGAAUAUCAUUUUGAGCGCUGGGAUUCGGUGGUUAACAGUCAUAGUCGGUCUUUCGCAUGUAUUGCCGUUAUUCUUUAAAAACGGAUGGGAAAGUUACUUACAUUUUAUUCACAAGAAAUGCAAAGUAAUUUAAUCAUUCAAAUUUUGAAAUAUUUUAUCACCUAGGAAUGUAAAAUUAACGACGACGACGACUUGUGAUGAUUUUGAAGUUUAAAUAUUUUUUGGCGUUGGUGUGGUAAUUAUACAUUAAUUCAUAACGAGUUCAAUUAUUCACAACCAGUGGCAGUAAAUUAAAACACGAUCGAAAGGAGUGUUUUAAAUCGAAACGAGUUGCCAAUUAUCUAUUCGCACAUAUACAACGUUUUACAGUACAUAUGGCACUUUAAAUUUUCGACAUAGGCGCGUAAAGUGCUAAUUAACGCCCUAGUGCGGUAAAGUAGUACCAUAUGUACUAUAAAAAAUGUUGUGUUUCAGUCGUUAGAAAAAAUUGUUUAACCCUCGUGUCUUCAAACCCCCGAAACGCUCAAGAUUUACACUUCUCUAAAAUACAUAACUGUUUUAGCCAACAAUAUUAACUGUUGAACUAUAUUGAAGGCCCGGUUCACAUUGAGUGGCUGCACCACUGUGCACAUACAAAGUUUAUUCUAACUGUAACUUUUUUGACCACAUUAUUUUCAAUAUUUCUCGAUUUUUAGCGAGGUAAAAUUUUUUUGAUGUCAUGUACCAAAUAAUACAAAAAAGGUACUAAAACUGGGAGUAAGCGUCAGGAUGUCAGGACCAUGAUAGCUAUUUAUAUCGUUUUAAAUAGCUAUCAUGGUCCUGACAUCCUGACACUUACGAUACUACAAUACAGUAAGGGCUAUAACCGCGAACCACUUCAUUAGUUCAUCUAUUCGCCUCUCUAUCACUGCGCGAUCUUUCUUUGUGCGAAAGAGAGGCACAUAGGCUUCCCCUUCCCCCUGAUGAAAUUAUGCGUUCCACGUCUUAAUCAUUAAUUUAAGAACAAUAAAACAUACGAAGAGUA